AGCCAUGGCAACCGGGCCCCGGGAAGGGCGGGAAGCGGCCGCCCCUCAGGGGCAGCGGCGGAAAGCGCCGGCCCCGGCCCGCGGCCCCUCACGCUCAGCGCCCGGCUCCGAGAGGACCCGCGUCUGGCGGGACGAGCGCUGCGAAAGCGGCAGUUUAAGGCCAGAAGUAGUUGCGCUGCAGCACAGGGGCAAAACCCCACGGAUCUGUGUCUCGGGGCUAGCGAAAGCCGCCUCUCACGCCUGGCAGCCGAGGUCUCUGCGCCACCUGACGAUACGAAACCCCUUCCCCUUCUCUGUUACGUGGAUCAGAGGGGCUGCUCCUCAGUGAGCUUGGACACUGCUGAGGGCAUCUCGGACGCAGCCAGCCGUUCUUCAGCCAAUGGCAGGAACAGCAAUGGCUUACGUUGCAAAGAAGUGUGGCAUCAUCUUCCAGCCUCCCUCCAUUGUCCUGAUCUACAGAGAUGUCAGCAAGGACAAGACUCGCCAGCGCAUCAUGCCUGUCCGGAAUUUCUCCAGGUUCUCAGACUGCAGCAUGGCUGCCGAGCAGCUGAAGAACAACGCCCGGCACAAGGCUUACCUUGAAGGAGUCUCCCUGUGGCAGCUCCAGAAGCUGUACAGCUUGCUGAAAGGUCACCUGGGAGGAGAGAGCCUGACUCAGAGCUUGGAGAAGUUUCGCCAGGAAGAGACCAUCGACCCAGAAGAGGAUAUGAAUAAACUGGAUGACAAGGAACUAGCCAAAAGGAAGAGCAUCAUGGAUGAGCUCUUUGAAAAGAACAGGAAGAAGAAGGACGACCCAGACUUCAUCUACGACAUUGAGGUUGAGUUUCCUCAGGAGGAGCAGCUAGAGUCCUGUGGCUGGGACGUGGAGUCAGGUGAAGAGAUCUGACUCCUGACAAAGAUGUCGUGGAUGGGCAUGUGAGAGGUGAACCUCACCGUCCCAGCAGAGAGGAGGAGGUCACCCGAUAUCUGGCACCGCAUUGUCUGCAGCCAGUGCAGUCCACGUGCGUUACGCUGGCGAUGGAGAACCCAAGGCCCAGGCUGCUACAGCAGUUCCAGUUUAAGGAUUGUGACUUCACCAAGCAACACCACCCCAAAAGGCAUCUUUUAGCUCUGCUGAUAACAGCUGCCUUAUCAGCACAAGGACACGGGCAUGUGCCCAGGGCUGCCUGUGAGUUUGCUGGGCCUGGCAAGAGCAGUGUGGGAAGCUGUGGCCACAGAUACCCUUCUCUGCAGAACCUGCAUGAUGCUCCAGCCCAGGGCAGGUUGUGGAUGUUGGCUGCAGUGGAGAGUUGGCUACAGGGGUGAAUAAAUAAAAGGAGCUGCCUGAAGGAGGAGAAAGACAAUUCUGGAGAAACUGUCUGUGUCCCUUUGGCCAAGAAGCGUUUGAUGUUGUGUCCCUUGGCUCUUGCCGACAUCGGCUGAAGGUUUCUACUGGUCCUUGAGGAUGCCCAGCACAGCCCCAGGCUCUGUCACCAGACAUGGCCCUGGGUUCCAUCACCAGACACAGCCCCAGGUUCCGUCACCAGACACAGCCCCACACCCUUCAGCACCCUUAGGGCAUUUGUAGCAGGAACAACAGCUCUCCCAGAACCCUCUGGUCCCGCAGCCAUCAAGUCUCCAUCUCACACACCUCAGGGAGAUUAUCCCCUGUAAUCCUGACAACCCGCUCGUAUUCACUGCUCCUGAGCCCUUCCUCCUCCUCAGCGUCAGUAAGGGCUGGACACCCCACACCGGCUUUUCACCAUUUUCAGCAGCUUUUGCUUGAAGGUGAGGAAGACGACGGCGAAGGCCACCAGGAGUGUGAGGCAGGUGGGCAGAGCCAGCACCAGGUAGAGGAGUGCCAGGUCGGCUGUCUGCCAGCGGCAGCUGCUCAGGACGGGCUCGGGCAGCGCCGCGGGGCUCAGCGUGCGGGAGGCGUAGCUGCAGGUCACGUCCCGCCCGUCGGCCACGUGCAGCCCUGGCACCCGCUGCAGCGAGUCCCACCAGCCCAGCGUGCAGCAGUUGUAGGGGUUUCGGGCGAGGUAGAGCUCCCGCAGGCUCCUGCCCAGCAGCGUGUGCGCCACGCCGGGCGGCAGGGCCUGCAAGCAGUUGUCCCGCAGGUCCAGGCUGCGCAGCCUCAGGCCG